UCCGGGAGUUCUUCCUGGCAUCUUGACGUUCUUAGGUCUUGAAGCAAGGUUACUUGCACAUGCCUUAUCCCUGUGGAGGCUAUAAGGUUUUCUCUCAGGCCACAACACUUGACUCUUCUCGGCCUGCCGUCCAUUCUUCCUCAUGGCCCCAUAGGUCUUCUUGUCCGAGAGCAUCUUUGAUCUGAGUCUUUCCUCUUAAAGAGCUUAUUUUAUGUCUCUCGUCUUGUUUGUGUGCCGUGUCGGUCUGUGCAUGUUUGUCUCUGUCGGAGCUGCUCUGCCUGGGUGCGUAGAGGUGACAGUCAGCCAAAGAAGUACAGUAAGGUUCUAUGUGAAUAAGCCUAGACUUUGUAGGGAAAGGGUGUACCGUCCAUUUCAGAGCAACUAAUUAUGUAGCCAACAGGCAAGGAGAGUUCUUUCUGUAGCGCUACGCAGACACGCAGGGGAUGAGCAGAGUUUUAUUGACAGCAGGCUGUAGAGAGAAUUGGGAUGGUAUACCUCAAUGAAAAUGGGAUCUCUGGAACUGUUAAGCUAUUGCUCCGCAUCCAGGCGACUCACUCAAUAUCUCUUUUGCAGAUGAAGAGGGACAACUCGCUCACCUAACGGCAACAGAGGAGGCAAACGGAGCAGUUUAAGAAGGUACCGCAAGAGGCAAUGGCUGCAGCAUCUGACUCCAGAAUGAACAGGCAGUAAAGGAAUCUGGCCACUGCAGGAACAUGCUAGUUAGCUGCUGUGCUGCUUUUUUCGAAGGUGGAUUCAGACCUCCGGCCCUCUGAAAGCUAAGUCGAUGGAACGGGGUUGAGUGGAGGGACGAGGUUGGCAAUCUCAGGUUGUAGGUGGGGCUCAGUUUGACUACGUAGACUGGAUUUAAUGAAAACCUCUGUCAGGGGAAUAAACUUCUGUUUUUCCUGUCUCCUGGCUGGGUAGUUUUUCCCUGGUCCCGGCCGGUGUGCAAUGCAAGGAUUGUUAUCUAGAUUUGGGUACAGGUCAGGCUCAGGCUGGAGUUUUUUCAGGUAGGAUGAUUUUUGAGGCCCCCAUACCUGGUGUUUCUGAGGAGCAUGGAGGGUGAUGGCUUGUGGCGGUUUUGGUGGUAGGGUGGCCGCGGGGAGAGCGGGUGGUGGUUUGAGUGGUAGCUGGCUGUGUGGUGUUUAAAAUGUGUGUAGCAGUGCCUGAAUGGUUGAUGUUUUGUUUUUUCCUUACAGGCUGUAGGUUGUGUAGCUUUCUUUAGAGGCAGUAAAAAAACUUUUUCUUUUCCUGUCCCCUGGCUGGGUUUCUUUCCUCCGUCCUGGCCGGUCUGCGAGGCGACUGUUGUCGCCUAUGUUUGGGCGCAUGUCUGUCUCAGGCUGGGGUUUUUAAGGCAGUGAAACGAAAAAGGGCCAAACAAUAGGCCUCAAACCAAGGUUGACUUCAGAGUGAAUCCCUCGACCAGCAACCAGCAUCUUAUCAGCAGCAUGAAGCAACCAGCAUCUUAUCAGUGUGAAAAUGCAACCCUGGGAACAAUCCCUGGGAACAAUAGGUAAACAACAGGUAGUAACUAUAAAUCCCAAAUGUACAGAAAACCAGA